rnacentral:lncRNA from 1 species
AAUUGGGAUACUCUGAAAGUCAUACAAGAAGCAUCUGUUCCAACAAGUAUGUUGAUUUUGCUGUAGGUGACAAUUUGAUAAGUAUACUACAUGUUCUUAGGGGCCAAGUGAUUUUUAGACAUGCACCAUCAUUGCAUAGAACAGUGGAGUAGUGCCAAAGUUUAUACAUUCUAAGAGAUGGUGUUCAUGGCAUGUCAAGAUUAGUUGAAUGGCCUUUUGUGUUUUCUCUUCCAGAAGAAAUUUUUAGAUCACAAUAAAAUGCUUUGUUAAGCAGAGCUUUUCAUUUUCUGAGGAGUUUUCCUUCCUGUGCUGAACUGUAAGACCUCAAAAAUGUUUUGGUUCUCCUUUUCAUGUUAAGUUCCUUAUAUUUCAUGCCUAUAGAGGAAAUAGCCUAUUGUCGAUGAGACUCCAUAAAAGGAAAGCAGACUACAUUGGCAAGAUCGCCAGUCAGUUAGGAGAAAAUUGUCAUGAACCCAUUAGGUCAGAGUCGGAUACUACCUGCAGCCAUAGAGAAGGCAACUGAAAUGGCUACUGUAUUUCAUAUAUAAGAGGGAUAACAUUCAGUAAAGACAGUGAAUAUCUAGAGACGGCAUAUACUAUACAAUUUCUUAUUCACUUGAGUGAUUUUUUUGAUGGAAAAAAAAAGUAGUUGAUGAUCCCAACACUGAAACCUUAUAUUUUACACAGUAAGUAUCAGAGCCAAAUAAGUGAUACCAUGUCAGAAAUUAAAAGUAACGCCGGGAAUUUUUUAAGAUAUAGCCAAUAUUAUGGAUAAGUAAAUAAUUCAUAUGGAAUAGAUUUUCCUUUGAUAAAAUAGAUUUCAAGUUUUGCCUAUGAAUGGGUUUGUAGAGUAUAUGGGAUUUUUCCCCAACCAGGACUUCCAAUUACUGAUUAAAAUACCACAUUUAAUCCCCCCCCAUCCUCACCUUUUUACUGAAAAGACAUUCUAACAUGAAAGGGGAAAUGCCAUCGAGCCAUAACCAUAGAUUGUCCUCUAAUGGAAAUAAGGCCGGUACAGUGAAAAAAGUUUUCAAAGUUAACCAAGAGUUAACCAAAAUUCAGCUUACACACUAGCGAAGGAUGUGAAUAGGUAAAUGGAAAUGAAGGGCAGAUAGGGUGGCUCAGAUUGAGAGGCCACCCAGAGGGGACAGGACUAGGUCGGAAUGAGUUGCCACCCGUAUUCCACUAGUUCCACUAGUGUAUUGUAGAGCCAGAUGCCUCUUCUUCAAGUGACGAAGCUGAGAAACUAUCAGAUGUGUUCAAAAUUACACCCAUCAUCGAACACAUCUACAUACUCCAAUGAGCAUAAAAAAUGUAUUAAAAUUUCUGUUCUGCAUCCCUUGUUUGUCCAUUUCUAUCACUAACCCUUUAAUUAAACUUGAUCUUCUUAUGUGUAAUCCAUUUCAUUUUUUAGGAAGUUCUAUGUGCCACCCUUCCUGAGUUGAUAGACAUGAGUCUUUUUUUUUUUUUAAAUAAUGUGUAGCAUCACAUCAAUUGUCAAUACUGUACUUUAUAGGAACUAUUUUUAACAGUAUGUUCUUAAAGUAUCACAAUAAUAUUUCGAUGGAGAUUUUGUCAUUAAUUUAACAACACAAUGGGCUUAUAAUCCCCAUAGUUAUUAUAAGUGUGCUUAUUAUUGUUUUACACGCACACACACACACACAUAUCCUUAGCCUUGAUAUCCAAACUUGUGCCCUUUACUUCAGUGAAGCUGUGACAGCUAUAAUUUAUCAAAAUGAGAUAACCCUGAAAUAAGAUUGGCUCUUAACUCAAUAUGAUUGGUAUGAAUGGAAAAGAAAUAGAAAAGAUUACUAGCUGGAGUGAUAAGGGUAGAGAUUCAGGGGAUAAUAUCUAUAUGGCUGGGAUUAUGCGGAGGUACUGAAGUCACCCACAAGCCAAGAACAGGUGAAAAAGAUAAGUCCAUACACAUUUCCAUGGAUUCAUGGUCCAGUAACAAUUUGGUAGUAUGUUCUGUGCAAACUUAUUUUAAAUCAUGUGCUUUACUGUUCAUAUUUCAUUAGCCAUACAAAACUAACCCCCAUACUAUAUGAUUGAACAGUUGUAAGUGUGAAAUGCAGUAGUUUUCAGAAUUUGUAGAAUUAUGAAACUAUUGCCACAGUUUAGGGAUAAAAUACUACACUACACCCAGAAGACCCUUAGCCAUAUGUAGGCAUUUCCUUUUCUUCCCACCUGCCCCUCAGAACUGUUCACCUGGGAUCUGCCUCCAUUUGCCUGCUGGAUUUGGUAUAAAUGAAAUCAAAGGCAGGUGUUGUGCCUUUAUCUUUUUCAACUGAUAUUAAUUUUGUGGGCUUCACCCAUGUUCUAUUUUUAUUUUGUGAGAACAAGUUAAUUUUUGUCUAGAAUAAUCUAUAUAUAAUAUUAUGCCUUUGGAACAAGCAAAACAUGUUGAGCGAUUGCAACUGUCAGUUAUAAUGGCACCUAAAGUCAGUUGAUGUGUCUAUAUUGAAAUACUAUUCCAUAUUUUCUCAUUUAGUGCCUAUUAUACUGGCUUGUGUCAGAAUCAAUUGAAGGUCUAUUAGAAUGCAAGUAGUCAGCUGUCUACAUUGUCAUAGAUGACAACCUACAUCCUAAUUGUCACUGCCUGACUGAUAUAAGUGGUCAGCUGUCAUUUGAUUAGCUGUCACACCUAGGGCUUUGUAGUCCAACAGCCUGAGUGGGAAUCUGAAGAAGCCAUAGGCAAAGAUGGGAGAAUGCAAGAAAAUCAGUUACAGGUUCAAUGACCACUCAGAACAUCCCGUGCAGAUUAUAACCUCUCAGUUCUCAGCUCGUUAAAUGAAAAAGCAGACUGAAAGGAAACAAUUUCUAGUCUCUACAGUUCCUUGGAGAUGGCACUUUCUUAAAAAGAGGUAAGAGACCGUGACCUCAAAUGCGAUGUGGUUCAGAGCUGAUGCUGAGUGAGUGCACUUUUGAAUUUUAUCCUGUAAACCAAAAGCUCUCAGCAGCUUCCCUAGUCCACAGAAGGCAGGGGUGAUAGUCAUCCAGCCUUAAAUAUGGCCUACAAGGAUAUCUUAGAAUACAGGCCACUUAGGGAAGUAAGAGCCACCUCUCCCACCUAUCUCAAGAUAAAGAGGACAGGGCUUAAUGGAGAUAACACCAGGCCUAGAUGUGGAUCGUUCCUGUAGUCCUGGAGCUGUAGCUCAAUGGCAGAGCCCCUGCCUAGCAUGCACAAGGGUCAGAGUUCUAGUCCCAGUGACACCGUG